rnacentral:rRNA from 1 species
CAGUAGCCGCGGUAAAACGGAGGGGGCUAGCGUUGUUCGGAAUUACUGGGCGUAAAGCGCACGUAGGCGGCUUUGUAAGUUAGAGGUGAAAGCCCGGAGCUCAACUCCGGAAUUGCCUUUAAGACUGCAGAGCUAGCAGGUGAGAGAGGUGAGUGGAAUUCCGAGUGUAGAGGUGAAAUUCGUAGAUAUUCGGAAGAACACCAGUGGCGAAGGCGGCUCACUGGCUCAUACUGGACGCUGAGGUGCGAAAGCGUGGGGAGCAAACAGGAUUAGAUACCCCGGUAGUCCCUGUCUCUUAUAC